rnacentral:rRNA from 1 species
UACGGAAGGCAGCGGUGGGGAAUAUUGCACAAUGGGCGCAAGCCUGAUGCAGCCAUGCCGCGUGUAUGAAGAAGGCCUUCGGGUUGUAAAGUACUUUCAGUCGUGAGGAGGUGUUAAGGUUAAUAACCUUAGCAAUUGACGUUAGCGACAGAAGAAGCACCGGCUAACUCCGUGCCAGCAGCCGCGGUAAUACGGAGGGUGCGAGCGUUAAUCGGAAUUACUGGGCGUAAAGGGCACGCAGGCGGUUAAUUAAGUUGGAUGUGAAAUCCCCGGGCUUAACCUGGGAAUGGCAUUCAAGCUGGUUAGCUAGAGUCUUGUAGAGGGGGUAGAAUUCCAUGUGUAGCGGUGAAAUGCGUAGAGAUGUGGAGGAAUACCGGUGGCGAAGGCGGCCCCUGGACAAAGACUGACGCUCAUGUGCGAAAGCGUGGGGAGCAAACAGGGAUUAGAUACC